AAGGGAGACCUAAUUCAGGUAGGAGACGAAAAAAAAGUAGUCCCUACCAAGAAUCAAUCCCAAAAGGUCGGAGCGAGGCAAAAUUGGCUUUCAAACUAGGUUCUGGGUUCACACAAGACCUGAAUCAGGAACAAGGGCUAUUAGCUCAGGUGGUUAGAGCGCACCCCUGAUAAGGGUGAGGUCCCUGGUUCGAGUCCAGGAUGGCCCACCUGUACAGGUGGCAAAAACAAAGAAAAGAAGCGAGGAAUCAGCACCUUAUCUUACUUAUAUAGUAAGAGAGAAUGCUGGCUCUGAGUUCAGAGUCCAGAGGAACCUUGAAAACUGCAUAGAGCUAGGUGAAAAAGCCAAAAAAGAAGACCACAA
rnacentral:tRNA from 1 species